rnacentral:lncRNA from 1 species
UGAUCUGGCUAUACAGUUCUCAGCCACAAGUUUUCAGAGGCGACCUGCAGUACCGUGGUCCAAGCACUUACAGGAUGUACUCCGUGCAGCAAGUUAAGGGCGGCAACAAAUAUCAGCCUGCCCUGAACAUGUUCUGCUAUCAGGAGGAAGACACGGCGCAAGUGGUGCUCCGUCUCAAGACUGCCUUCCUCACUCCACAGCCCGCUCCAUUUACGCGUGCUCAACAGUGGCGACAACGGC